rnacentral:rRNA from 1 species
AACGCGAAGAACCUUACCAGGUCUUGACAUCCUCUGACACUCCUAGAGAUAGGACUUUCCCCUUCGGGGGACAGAGUGACAGGUGCUGCAUGGCUGUCGUCAGCUCGUGUCGUGAGAUGUUGGGUUAAGUCCCGCAACGAGCGCAACCCUUGUCCUAUGUUGCCAGCGGGUUAUGCCGGGGACUCAUGGGAGACUGCCGGGGUCAACUCGGAGGAAGGUGGGGACGACGUCAAAUCAUCAUGCCCCUUAUGUCCUGGGCUACACACGUGCUACAUUGGCCGGUACAAAGGGCUGCAAACCCGCGAGGGGGAGCGAAUCCCAAAAAACCGGUCCCGGUUCGGAUUGGAGGCUGAAACUUGCCUCCAUGAAGGCGGAGUUGCUAGUAAUCGCGAAUCAGCAACGUCGCGGUGAAUACGUUCCCGGGUCUUGUACACACCG